AAUCGGCGUACAACGAUGGGGACGUGCUCCCCGAUGUGGUGCCGAGGGAAACGAGCCACAGCAAUCCUGCUCCAUGGCAGAAAGCUGAAAAAUCAAGUGUCUGGCAAUAGAGUUUGGUAGGCCGGUAACGGUUCGAAGAAGUUUGGCC
rnacentral:sRNA from 1 species